rnacentral:lncRNA from 1 species
CAGUUCGCAGUUUAACGCAGAAAGCGGAUAUGCAAGCAACCUUAAAGUUGUUCGGGGUUCUGUGAACCAUAGGUACCUUCAAAGAGCUGGCGAGAUGGCCAAAGAAGAAGCCACUUCUCUACAUGGUCUGCACUUACAGUAGAUACAUUCAUUAUUGUCCAAGGGAAGACAGCCACUGCCUUUCACUUAAAGAGCUUGGUGGAGAGGCUGAAGGGAUACGCUGCAGCCGAAGGUUCUAGAAAGCUACCUUGAACCAGGAAGGCAGCCCAGGAGAGAAGACGUCCACCGGCUGUUUCUGGAUUUACUAUCUAUUCAUCUUAUGUCACCUCCUGUCACACUGUGCUUCCUCUAGCAGCACCAGAUCUCGCAGUGAUCAGUGUAAGAGCCAGGAGAUUGCGGUUGUCUGCAC